rnacentral:rRNA from 2 species
UGAUCUGCCCUGCACUCUGGGAUAAGCCUGGGAAACUGGGUCUAAUACCGGAUAGGACCACACACUUCAUGGUGAGUGGUGCAAAGCUUUUGCGGUGUGGGAUGAGCCCGCGGCCUAUCAGCUUGUUGGUGGGGUAAUGGCCCACCAAGGCGACGACGGGUAGCCGGCCUGAGAGGGUGACCGGCCACACUGGGACUGAGAUACGGCCCAGACUCCUACGGGAGGCAGCAGUGGGGAAUAUUGCACAAUGGGCGCAAGCCUGAUGCAGCGACGCCGCGUGAGGGAUGACGGCCUUCGGGUUGUAAACCUCUUUCAGUAGGGACGAAGCGAAAGUGACGGUACCUACAGAAGAAGGACCGGCCAACUACGUGCCAGCAGCCGCGGUAAUACGUAGGGUCCGAGCGUUGUCCGGAAUUACUGGGCGUAAAGAGCUCGUAGGUGGUUUGUCGCGUUGUUCGUGAAAACUCACAGCUUAACUGUGGGCGUGCGGGCGAUACGGGCAGACUAGAGUACUGCAGGGGAGACUGGAAUUCCUGGUGUAGCGGUGGAAUGCGCAGAUAUCAGGAGGAACACCGGUGGCGAAGGCGGGUCUCUGGGCAGUAACUGACGCUGAGGAGCGAAAGCGUGGGUAGCGAACAGGAUUAGAUACCCUGGUAGUCCACGCCGUAAACGGUGGGUACUAGGUGUGGGUUUCCUUCCUUGGGAUCCGUGCCGUAGCUAACGCAUUAAGUACCCCGCCUGGGGAGUACGGUCGCAAGACUAAAACUCAAAGGAAUUGACGGGGGCCCGCACAAGCGGCGGAGCAUGUGGAUUAAUUCGAUGCAACGCGAAGAACCUUACCUGGGUUUGACAUGCACAGGACGUACCUAGAGAUAGGUAUUCCCUUGUGGCCUGUGUGCAGGUGGUGCAUGGCUGUCGUCAGCUCGUGUCGUGAGAUGUUGGGUUAAGUCCCGCAACGAGCGCAACCCUUGUCCUAUGUUGCCAGCGGGUAAUGCCGGGGACUCGUAGGAGACUGCCGGGGUCAACUCGGAGGAAGGUGGGGAUGACGUCAAGUCAUCAUGCCCCUUAUGUCCAGGGCUUCACACAUGCUACAAUG